GUUGGUGUUAAUUACGGUGAGGCUCCACCCGUUCUCCAUUCCGAACACGGCAGUUAAGCUCACUUGUGCCGACAAUACUUGGCCGGCGACGGCUCGGGAAGAUAGGUAAAUGCCAACA
rnacentral:rRNA from 1 species